rnacentral:rRNA from 1 species
GAACCUUACCAAAUCUUGACAUCCUUUGAAAACUCUAGAGAUAGAGCCUUCCCCUUCGGGGGACAAAGCGACAGGUGGUGCAUGGUUGUCGUCAGCUCGUGUCGUGAGAUGUUGGGUUAAGUCCCGCAACGAGCGCAACCCUUAUCCUUUGUUGCCAGCGGUUAGGCCGGGAACUCAAAGGAGACUGCCAGUGAUAAACUGGAGGAAGGUGGGGAUGACGUCAAGUCAUCAUGGCCCUUACGAGUAGGGCUACACACGUGCUACAAUGGCGCAUACAAAGAGAAGCGACCUCGCGAGAGCAAGCGGACCUCAUAAAGUGCGUCGUAGUCCGGAUUGGAGUCUGCAACUCGACUCCAUGAAGUCGGAAUCGCUAGUAAUCGUGGAUCAGAAUGCCACGGUGAAUACGUUCCCGGGUCUUGUACAC